ensembl:lncRNA
AUGUUGUGCAGCAGUGACGCACCGGUGUGUUCGAAGCGUAAAAUCAAAGAGAGCGCAGAUGACAUGAAUUUGGUGAAAAAUAACACUUUUCGAUUGAUUUCAAUGCUGAGGAAGUAAAAACUCGGAAGCAGCAGAACGCAACAUUGAAAUUUCAGGUUGCAAAGCAGGAGAAGAAGCUCACUGAAAUUGAGUCAAAGGUAAACGAGAAUGACCGGAUAGUCGGAGAUGGAAUCUUUGAAUUUAUGGAAUUGCAGAAAAAUCUGACAAGGACAUUGAAAGCAAGAGUGAAGGACAUUUGCAGGGCAAUAAUGUUGUUGCAGGUUCUCUGGAUGUAGUGCACCGCCUGGGUAGGCUGAGAGAUGGGGAAAACGACCAGUGAUCACGAGAUUCAUCUCCAGGACUGCGAGGGAUAUGACAUGGAAAAGUGCAAAGAAAAAUGACUAUUUAAAGAAGAACAACCUGAAGUUCAAGGAUGAUCUGACAGCAUUUGACAAAUAAGCUCGGAAUCGUCUGUGGUCGAUGAUUUAGAGAGCAAGGAAGGUAGGGAAAAGUGCAUACUUUGCGGGAGUCAAGGCUUUUGAUAAUCGAAGGGAAAUUCACGCUGAUGCCUAGCUUGUUGACUGCUGGACUUAUCAAGACCUGAGCCCUAGGACCAUGCCUCAGGACUACCUGGCAUGAUGACUCCUUGCUGUCCCCAGUCCACCUGCUGCUGCUCCAGUUUCAACUGUUCUGCCUGCUGCUAUGGAACCCUGACCUGUUCACCGGACGUGCUACCUGUCCCCAGACCUGCUGCUUUCAACUCUCUAGAGACAGCAGGAGCGGUAGAGAUACUCUCAAUGAUCGGCUAUGAAAAGCCAACUGACAUUUACUCUUGAGGUGCUGACUUGAUGCACCCUCAACAACUACUGUGAUUAUUAUUAUUUGACCAUGCUGGUCAUUUAUGAACAUUUGAACAUCUUAGCCAUGUUCUGUUAUAAUCUCCACCCGGCACAACCAGAAGAGGACUGGCCACCCCUCAUAGCCUGGUUCCUCUCUAGGUUUCUUCCUAGGUUUUGGCCUUUCUAGGGAGUUUUUCCUAGCCACCCUGCUUCUACACCUGCAUUGCUUUCUGUUUGGGGUUUUAGGCUGGGUUUCUGUACAGCACUUUGAGAUAUCAGCUGAUGUAAGAA